rnacentral:rRNA from 1 species
CAGAGGGUGCGAGCGUUGUUCGGAAUUACUGGGCGUAAAGCGCGCGCAGGCGGUUCUUUAAGUCUACCCGUGAAAUGCCGGAGCUCAACUCCGCGCACGCCGGGGGAUACUGGAGAACUGGAGACAGGUAGAGGCAGGCGGAAUUCCGGGUGUAGCGGUGGAAUGCGUAGAGAUCCGGAAGAACACCAGAGGCGAAGGCGGCCUGCUGGGCCUUGUCUGACGCUGAGGCGCGAAAGCGUGGGGAGCGAACAGGAUUAGAUACCCUGGUAGUCCACGCCGUAAACGAUGGGCACUGGGCGCGGGUGGGAUCGACCCCUUCCGUGCCGUAGCUAACGCGAUAAGUGCCCCGCCUGGGGAGUACGGCCGCAAGGCUG